AGAGCGAACGCUGGCGGCAGGCCUAACACAUGCAAGUCGAACGAACUCUUCGGAGUUAGUGGCGGACGGGUGAGUAACACGUGGGAACGUGCCUUUAGGUUCGGAAUAACUCAGGGAAACUUGUGCUAAUACCGAAUGUGCCCUUCGGGGGAAAGAUUUAUCGCCAUUGGAUGGGCCCGCGUCGGAUUAGCUAGUUGGUAAGGUAAUGGCUUACCAAGGCUACGAUCCGUAGCUGGUCUGAGAGGAUGAUCAGCCACACUGGGACUGAGACACGGCCCAGACUCCGUACGGGCGCAGCAGGUAGGGAAUCGUGGACAAGUGGGACGAAAGCCUGAUCCAGCCAUGCCGUGUGAGUGAAGAGGCCUUAGGGUGUAAGCUACGUUUGGAGGGACGAUAAGUCGGACGGUACCCG
rnacentral:rRNA from 1 species